CAAGAGCAGGAAACGACCUCGGCAAUGACAGAGCAGAAGCAAAUGGAUGAUAGUGAUUCAAGAAAGCUUUCCUAUGAAACUCAAGAUUUUAGUUCUACUGUUGGUCUUGUUGAUGAUAUUCCAGUGUCCCUUGAUGUCCCUUCAUUACCUAGUAAGUUAAACCAAUUGGUUGGACUGUUCCAAAGGCUAUAUAUAAUUAUA